rnacentral:rRNA from 1 species
UACAGAGGUCCCAAGCGUUGUUCGGAAUUACUGGGCGUAAAGGGUUCGUAGGUGGCCUACUAAGUCAGACGUGAAAUCCCUCAGCUUAACUGGGGAACUGCGUCUGAUACUGGGAGGCUUGAAUGCGGGAGAGGGAUGUGGAAUUCCAGGUGUAGCGGUGAAAUGCGUAGAUAUCUGGAGGAACACCGGUGGCGAAGGCGGCAUCCUGGACCGACAUUGACGCUGAGGCGCGAAAGCUAGGGGAGCAAACGGG